UUCAAAAACAUCUCUUCCUGAUAUUGUAGGAACUGGAAGUAGGCCCUGCCCGGUGGCCUGCGGGCUAAACGGCGGGGAAACCCUUAAAGUAGCGUAAUGAGUUGGCCUUUAAUUGGGGUCUAGUAUGAAUGGGUUGACGGUGGGAGGACUGUCUUCAUGGGGAUGUCCAUAAAUUUUCUUUUUAGUGAAAAGCCUGGGAUGAUUUUAAAAGACGAGAAGACCCCGUCGAGCUUAAGCGGUUUUGCCUUAUUUGAUUAGGGCUAUGAGAAGUUUUGUUGGGGCAACAACGGAAAAUUCAAACUUCCGUUACUGGAGCGAGGAUCCAUUUUUUAUGAUAGAAGGAAAAAGUUACCGCGGGGAUAACAGCGCAAGACCACUACAGAGGUCAUAUCGAGGGUGGUAGUUGCGACCUCGAUGUUGGAUUAGGGGAGACUCCGAGGUGCAGCCGCUGAGAGAGUGGGUCUGUUCGCCCCUUAAACCCCUACAUGAUCUGAGUUCA
rnacentral:rRNA from 1 species